rnacentral:tRNA from 2 species
GGGCCUUUAGCUCAGUUGGUUAGAGCAGCGGACUCAUAAUCCGCGGGUCCAGGGUUCAAGUCCCUGAGGGCCCA